rnacentral:rRNA from 1 species
GAUGAACGCUGGCGGCGUGCUUAACACAUGCAAGUCGAGCGAGUGAGUUCUUCGGAACAAUCUAGCGGCGGACGGGUGAGUAACACGUGGGCAACCUGCCUCAUAGAGGGGAAUAGUCUCCCGAAAGGGAGAUUAAUACCGCAUAAAAUUAUCGAGUGGCAUCACAUGAUAAUCAAAGGAGUAAUCCGCUAUGAGAUGGGCCCGCGGCGCAUUAGCUAGUUGGUGAGGUAACGGCUCACCAAGGCGACGAUGCGUAGCCGACCUGAGAGGGUGAUCGGCCACAUUGGGACUGAGACACGGCCCAGACUCCUACGGGAGGCAGCAGUGGGGAAUAUUGCACAAUGGGGGAAACCCUGAUGCAGCAACGCCGCGUGAGUGAUGAAGGUCUUCGGAUUGUAAAGCUCUGUCUUUGGGGACGAUAAUGACGGAACCCAAGGAGGAAGCCACGGCUAACUACGUGCCAGCCGCCGCCGUAA